rnacentral:lncRNA from 1 species
CAUUUGUGAAGAAAGAGGAGCGUGCCUAAUCAUUAUAUAUACGAAGACCAAGCUCAAGAAUAGAUAUCUUAUUGAAAAAUAUUAGUUACACAUAUUGAGUCUUUGUUGAGUCUUUUUAUUCACUACAAAAUAAAUUGGGAAUAGCGACAGAAUGAUAGGGGCGGUUUCAUAUAAACCGUCGCCGCUAUGUUAUUUAAACACUUUGCCGACCGUUCUUUCGAAACCGUCGUGGCUGAGAUCUGAAAAUAACGCGCUUCCCCUUUCUCUUUUCUCUCUUCUUCUUUUCUCACUCACAAUUUGUCUUUUAUCGAAGGAAAUUGGAACAAACAACACCGUCUCAUUUUUCUCUGAGAAUUGUUCAACCCUAAGUUUCAUUUCAGCAAAUCUUCGAUUCUAA